GCCCAACUGCUGGUAGCUGCCCGUUUCCCCCACUGCCUGCUGUGCACACAAGUAAUUAACUUGCAAUGCUCCACUGGCUCUGACAUAUUCCAUGGCAUCAAGAGAACCCACCAGCAGGAAGUUAAGCAUGCAAGGUGCUGCCACAUUGAACCUGAUAACCAAAUACCACAUGUUAAGUGUCAGCAGGAAGACAGGGUGUCAGGUGAGCCCAGUGUCAAGGUGAGGUGCAGUAACUACGGUUAAAUCCCCUUCCCUUGAACUCUUCAUUUGGAUCCUGUGGUAAUGCACAUGGUGUGAGAAGAAAGACUUUAUUUUUGUCAUGGAAGA
rnacentral:lncRNA from 1 species